rnacentral:misc_RNA from 1 species
ACUGUAUAACAACCUCACUGGCUCCCUUUGCUUCCCCUUUUUCUGUGUCUUGCCAAACUCUGAUCCGUAUUCAGCAAUAGGAAUGAAACCGUUGCCCCAUGUCCCCCUAGUAUGCUCAUGCUCAGGUAUAUACACGAUGAUUGGUUGGUUGCAUAACUUUGACAAUACCAAUAAUUCAGACUCUCCUCCCCAAAAAUCAGACCGCUGAACGCGUUGACAGUAUCUUUUCAAAGACUGCUCCACAGUGAUUGCAAUUAGUGCUUCCUCAUAUAGAUGCCUCUCUUUAUCACUGUCGCAUAUUAUUUCCUUGACAGCCAUUCGUAGAUCAUCUGCAUCUUCUCUCUCUUGACUAGCACUAAGCGGCACCCCUUUGUUCCUAGCCAUCCCCUUCA